rnacentral:ncRNA from 1 species
UUCAAAGCAAUGAAAAGAAAUAGUAAGAUAGUACUGCUUUAAGAGACUUUCUGGUUGGUGCAAAGAAAGAGUAAGGCUAUUUGAACACGUCUUGGAGCUGUAAAGAUGAAAAUAGUAGUUUUUAACGUAUUCCUGGCGUUAUCAGGUUUGAGGCUAUGAAUAGCGAAAUAAGGUGGAACCACGUAAGUUAAACUUUCGUCCUUAGG